rnacentral:lncRNA from 10 species
GACAAAACCUUCCCCGCACGCCCUGCCAACUCUGCCCCACGCCCAGGCUCUUCCCAAGCCAGGCGCCAGACAAAAGAACCGAGAGAAAAACUUACCCGAACUGCAACACAAAAGUCUGAUCCAAAGCUUCCUGGGUUUAACUUUUAAUUUUAAAAACAAAAAAGCAGAAACCAAAAGCCUCCUAGGUUGGAAGUGGGCGUGAGAGGAAAUGCUAGAGGGAGGCGCUUCAUUCCCCGGGCUGCCUGUGCCCCCCUUUCUGGCCCCUGCCCGGGGCUUUGAUGUUAUCUAGUGCACCGCCUCCAUCGGUUUCUACCUUGGGCUCUGCGCCGCCGAGAAGAUAGACAGAUCUUCCGCACUUCACUUGCAGGUUCUGAGAGAGGCAAGCAGGUAGUCGCGGGAAAGGACCCACACUCCUUAGCCCCGCAGUGAGAGAGGAACAUUUGCACGGGCUUCCUGUUGCUACCUGGACUGAAAUGAACAAUCCACCCCUCUAGUGAUCCUGGAGACUUGCACCGUAUGGUCUUUCCUGCUAGACGCACAGCGGGAGGCCUCCUACAUUAGAUUCAUUUUCCCUCCACCCGUAGCACAAACUUGUAAGAUGGUGGUGGAGUAUGUUUCCUGAGGCUUUGUUCGGGUUUUAGAUCUCAGUUUGGAAGGUAAAUAUUAUUUCCCUUCUGAGACAGUCCUGCAGCCUUGAAAAGACAAGAAUAAAAAUCUAAAGGCAACAAAUUCUAUAACAUGCUUUCCAUACACCAUAAAUUCCCUUAUGGGUCAAAAUAUCCGCACACUUUCCCCUCACGUUAUGAAAAGCUUGUAACUGUUGAUUUUCUUUUGUCUGGACACUAGCAGACACUGGAUAUAGUUUUUCAUUAGGUUAGCAGUCUCGGGACCAUCACUAACAAAACACUACAACAAAGAAUUUUUUUUUUUUUAACAGAUUACUAAUAAAGAAGGACGGCAGUGUCUAGCAAUCAGCCUUACCUGUGCCUCCACUUUACACCAACAGAAGCUUGUGUUCAGGCCUUGCCCUCUGGAAGAUUACAAAUUAAUGGAGACAGGAUAAACACAUGGAAAAAUACCUAGAGGGAAAAAAAGAUAUAAGAGGCUUAUAAACAGAGCCAAUUAAAGUUAUACAGUUAUUUACAUGAUCGCUGAGAGGCUUCUGCUUGAGUAGAGGACGGGGUGAGCAGAGUCCCAUCCUGGGGGUGAGUUCUCAGUGGGAUAUUGAAGGAGAGAAAGUUCACGAUUUGGCAGUGGUGGAAGUACAGCAUUCUAGAGGAGGGAAAUAACUUGAAGGUGAGAGCAAGUGAACUGUGUGUGAUGGUUUUUCCACCGAGAGCAGAAAGUCUAAGCAAAUGGGAAACAAGUAACACCCAUGCCAGGACACUUGAGAGUGAAAGGGAAGGUAUUAAUAAUUAUACUCAGGGCCGGGCGCAGUGGCUCACGCUUGUAAUCCCAGCACUGUGGGAGGCCGAGGGGGGCGGAUCACAAGGUCAGGAGAUCGAGACCAUCCUGGCUAACACAGUGAAACCCUGUCUCUACUAAAAAUAGAAAAAUUAAUUGGGCGUGGUGACGGGCGCCUGUAUUCCCAGCUAUUCGGGGGGCUGAGGCAGGAGAAUGGCGUGAACCAGGGAGGCGGAGCUUGCAGUGAGCCAAGAUCACGCCACUGCACUCCAGCCUGGGCCACAGAGCGAGACUCCGUCUCAAAAAAAAAAUCAUGCUCAGAUGAGAGAUGUACACCUGGAUUGCCCCGGGGCCAUUGGGAAGGGUGGGUUCUCUCGUAAUGAGCUAGGAAGACAGAAUGGGCAGGCAACAGGCAACCAGAGAAGAGCCUACUCAGUCAUCAUUUGGAAGGAAUUAAGACAUGAUAUUACAAACAGUUGGUAGCUAUUUGGAGACAUCUGGCCUGAGAAUGGUCUUUUUAAGGAAAGUUAUUGUUACUGAUGGAUUUAGGAUCGAUAUGGAGGCUGGUUACAAAAACUGCAGUAACAUUAGCAGUUGUAAUAAUGGUAGUGGUAGUGAUUAACAGCUAUUGAGCGCUUACGACUUGCCGGGUUUUCCUAUAUAAACUCAUUUAGUCCCCGCCAUAAACCCACACUGUAGAUGAAGAAACAGAGGCUUAGAAAUGCUACAUAGUCUUCCGGAAGCUACAGAGCUGGUAAAUGAUAGAACUAUGAUGGGGAUCCAGAAAAUAUUCAGAUGCUCAAAGUUUAAAGAUUAUAUUUUGUGAAAACCAGAUUUCAAUAACUUUAUAAUAUUCUACAUCAAUGGAGAGAAUAAGAAAAGGGAAUUUUUUAAAGUUUUUCAAAUUUCGAUGUGUCAUGAAAAUGAUGGGCAUCCUGGCAUGGUGUGAGGCUUAAGGAAAAGAAGAGAAAAUGUGUUUGAUUUUAACCAUGUCUUGUUUUUAGAAGGAUGAUUUAAUUCACAUUUACGCCAGUACUGAUACUGUUACCUGUAGGAGACGUGCUAUUAGAGCAAACCACAUCUCAUUGAAAAGCCUCUCUUUCAAUGGCAAGUAACGACAGUUUAAUGGAUAUUAUUUGGUGUACUAUCUGUGAAGAGGGGAAAGAAAACUAGAUGUGAUUGAUACCUGCAGUUCCUGAAAGAAUUCCUCAUAAGCUAUGUCCACAAGUGGCAUACUGAGGAACCCUAGAGGAAGAAUAGCAUUCAAUGAAAAUGACCCAACCUCAUCUGUGAUCUAACAAGGUGGUAUUUUUGUUCCAGUGGGCCCUGAGUUAAUACAGUGUCCCACAGUUCUAGAGGCUGGGAGUUCAAGAUCAAGGCAUCAGCAGGGUUGGCUUUCUCCGAGGCCUGU